CCUUGUACACACCGCCCGUCAUACCAUGGGAGUUGGCUUUACCCGAAGGUGGUGCGCUAACCCGCAAGGGAGGCAGCCAACCACGGUAGGGUCAGCGACUGGGGUG
rnacentral:rRNA from 1 species